rnacentral:rRNA from 1 species
GAUGAACGCUAGCGGCAGGCUUAACACAUGCAAGUCGAGGGGCAGCGCGGGAUAGCAAUAUCCUGGCGGCGACCGGCGGAAGGGUGCGUAACGCGUGAGCGACAUGCCCGUUGCCCGGGGACAACCGGUGGAAACGCCGACUAAUCCCCGAUGGGAUAUUGUGCCGCAUGGCACGAUAUUGAAAGUUACGGCGGCGACGGAUUGGCUCGCGUCCGAUUAGCUGGUUGGCGGGGUAACGGCCCACCAAGGCUGCGAUCGGUAGGGGGUCUGAGAGGAAGGCCCCCCACAAUGGGAGAGAGACACGGGCCAUACUCCGGAGGGAGGCAGCAGUGAGGAAGAUUGGUCAAUGGGCGGAAGCCUGAACCAGCCAUGCCGCGUGCGGGAAGGAGGCCCUAUGGGCUGUGAACCGCUUUUGCCUGGGGGCAAUAAGGGCGUCGCGCACGUCCGAUGAGAGUACCAGGCGAAUAAGCAUCGGCUAACUCCGUG